AACGCACAUUGCGCCCUGUGGUAUUCCACAGGGCAUGCCUGUUUGAGCGUCAUUUCUCCUUCAAACUUCUAGUUUGGAUUUGGGCUUGGGGAAGCUUUAUACCCAGCCUGAAAUAGUGGGUGAAACAUAUGUCUAUUAGGUUUUACACAAUGAGUUAGGUUCUGCCAGUUCGUUGAAUAAAAUCUAUGUGAAGAUGCUUCAAUACCAGCCCAUUUUAUACCCCCCAAAUUUGACCUCAAAUCAGGUAGGACUACCCGCUGAACUUAA
rnacentral:misc_RNA from 1 species